rnacentral:sRNA from 1 species
ACGACAUCCCACGGCAGAGGUAACCUCGCCACCACCCUUAUCGAACUCUUCAUCCAGAGAACUUUCGUCAACACCACUUCCACAAGUCCCUGCAGCAAAAUACCCAAGAGCAAAUUAAACACCGCCCAAGCCACAACCUUCAGCGCUCGUUUCCAGCACCUCUUCCCCUUCUUGUUCACCGGAAGGCCCGCAGCCCCUUGCGCUUUUAUCACCACCGCAGCGGACGGAAGCAGCACAUCAAAGAGGAAAAAUAGCACGGACGGAACCAGAUAGAGCAGCACUCGGAUGGCGAGCGUUCCUACGAUUUCAACCUUUAACGGGGGACUUGACAUGACUAGCGUGAUCCAGGUGAUGUAGAAAAAGAUGAUGUUGAGACUUGUGGGGUAGGAGGACAUGGCCGGGAUAAGGAGGUAGGAGAUCAUAGGGAU